UCUAAAUAUAUUAGAGAAGUGGUUCUCAGGGUGUGGUCCCAGACCAGCAGCACCCCGGAAGCUGGCAGAAAUGCGGACUCUCAGACCCUACCCCAGCCCCACUGAAUCGGAAGCUCCGAGGGCAGGGCCCAGCAGUCUGUUUCAACCAGACAGAUGAAGUUGGAGAAUCACGUGCAGACCAUCAGAUUCUGAAGUCUAGGACACAUCAAAAUCACCUGGGAGCUUGUUAAAAAUACAGAUUCCUGGGCUCAAAGCCAGGGAUUGAGCAGGUGCAUCUGGCAUCCAGAUUCCACAUCGCACUGGGCUUUCUGCAGGAGCAAGGAGGUCUUCAUAGAGCCCGGCCCAAGGGAUCUAAUGUCAGAGGUUUCCCUGAAAUCACCCUUCGCCCUUGAGAACCCCCAACAUCGCCUCAGUGUCCAGUCACGUUGAGUAACACACUGCCUCCAGCUCAUUGUUUUGAGGUCCUGACUCCCUGCGUAGCAGAGAUCUGUGUCCCAAGCAGGGCUUGGUUUGGUGUGACACGGAAUCGAAAUCCCUCUUUGCAGAAGAGGGUCUAGAACAUGCCACCUUGAACAGCUCUAGAACAUGCCACCUUGAAGAGACUCUAAAGUUAAGAGUAGAGAAGGAGUGUCUCGUCAGAACCUUCU